AGACUUCAGCAUGCUAAAUUGUCAACUCUGGUUCUCCGGGCGGCAGAAUUCUUAGAGGGAUUAUUAGCCAUUAUCAGUUGUUUGAAGUAUGAGGCAAUAACAGGUCUGUGAUGCCCUUAGAUGUUCUGGGCCGCACGCGCGCUACACUGACGCGUUCAACGAGCCUCCUGGUCACGAGAGGACUGGGUAAUCUUGUAAACCGCGUCGUGAUGGGGCUAGAGCUUUGUAAUUGUUGCUCUUCAACGAGGAAUGCCUAGUAAGCGCGAGUCAUCAACUCGCGUUGAUUACGUCCCUGCCCUUUGUACACACCGCCCGUCGCUCCUUCCGAUUGGGUGUGCUGGUGAAGAGUUCGGACUGGCCAGACGCCCGCAAGGGCUUCCGGCCGGGAAG
rnacentral:rRNA from 1 species